GAUGAACGCUGGCGGCGUGCCUAAUACAUGCAAGUCGAGCGAACGGACGAGAAGCUUGCUUCUCUGAUGUUAGCGGCGGACGGGUGCGUAACACGUGGAUAACCUACCUAUAAGACUGGGAUAACUUCGGGAAACCGGAGCUAAUACCGGAUAAUAUUUUGAACCGCAUGGUUCAAAAGUGAAAGACGGUCUUGCUGUCACUUAUAGAUGGAUCCGCGCUGCAUUAGCUAGUUGGUAAGGUAACGGCCUACCAAGGCAACGAUGCAUAGCCGACCUGAGAGGGUGAUCGGCCACACUGGAACUGAGACACGGUCCAGACUCCUACGGGAGGCAGCAGUAGGGAAUCUUCCGCAAUGGGCGAAAGCCUGACGGAGCAACGCCGCGUGAGUGAUGAAGGUCUUCGGAUCGUAAAACUCUGUUAUUAGGGAAGAACAUAUGUGUAAGUAACUGUGCACAUCUUGACGGUACCUAAUCAGAAAGCCACGGCUAACUACGUGCCAGCAGCCGCGGUAAUACGUAGGUGGCAAGCGUUAUCCGGAAUUAUUGGGCGUAAAGCGCGCGUAGGCGGUUUUUUAAGUCUGAUGUGAAAGCCCACGGCUCAACCGUGGAGGGUCAUUGGAAACUGGAAAACUUGAGUGCAGAAGAGGAAAGUGGAAUUCCAUGUGUAGCGGUGAAAUGCGCAGAGAUAUGGAGGAACACCAGUGGCGAAGGCGACUUUCUGGUCUGUAACUGACGCUGAUGUGCGAAAGCGUGGGGAUCAAACAGGAUUAGAUACCCUGGUAGUCCACGCCGUAAACGAUGAGUGCUAAGUGUUAGGGGGUUUCCGCCCCUUAGUGCUGCAGCUAACGCAUUAAGCACUCCGCCUGGGGAGUACGACCGCAAGGUUGAAACUCAAAGGAAUUGACGGGGACCCGCACAAGCGGUGGAGCAUGUGGUUUAAUUCGAAGCAACGCGAAGAACCUUACCAAAUCUUGACAUCCUUUGACAACUCUAGAGAUAGAGCCUUCCCCUUCGGGGGACAAAGUGACAGGUGGUGCAUGGUUGUCGUCAGCUCGUGUCGUGAGAUGUUGGGUUAAGUCCCGCAACGAGCGCAACCCUUAAGCUUAGUUGCCAUCAUUAAGUUGGGCACUCUAAGUUGACUGCCGGUGACAAACCGGAGGAAGGUGGGGAUGACGUCAAAUCAUCAUGCCCCUUAUGAUUUGGGCUACACACGUGCUACAAUGGACAAUACAAAGGGCAGCGAAACCGCGAGGUCAAGCAAAUCCCAUAAAGUUGUUCUCAGUUCGGAUUGUAGUCUGCAACUCGACUACAUGAAGCUGGAAUCGCUAGUAAUCGUAGAUCAGCAUGCUACGGUGAAUACGUUCCCGGGUCU
rnacentral:rRNA from 1 species